rnacentral:rRNA from 1 species
CCUACGGGAGGCAGCAGUGGGGAAUUUUGGACAAUGGGGGCAACCCUGAUCCAGCCAUUCCGCGUGAGCGAAGAAGGCCUUCGGGUUGUAAAGCUCUUUCGCAAGGGAAGAAAACUUAUGAUCGAAUAAAUCAUGAGGUUGACGGUACCUUGAUAAGAAGCACCGGCUAACUACGUGCCAGCAGCCGCGGUAAUACGUAGGGUGCGAGCGUUAAUCGGAAUUACUGGGCGUAAAGCGUGCGCAGGCGGUUUUGUAAGUCGGAUGUGAAAUCCCCGGGCUCAACCUGGGAACUGCGUUCGAAACUGCAAGGCUAGAGUGUGUCAGAGGGGGUAGAAUUCCACGUGUAGCAGUGAAAUGCGUAGAGAUGUGGAGGAAUACCAAUGGCGAAGGCAGCCCCCUGGGAUAACACUGACGCUCAUGCACGAAAGCGUGGGGAGCAAACAGGAUUAGAUACCCUGGUAGUCCACGCCCUAAACGAUGUCAACUAGUUGUUGGUUAGAGUAAAAUCUAUGAGUAACGUAGCUAACGCGUGAAGUUGACCGCCUGGGGAGUACGGUCGCAAGNUUAAAACUCAAAAUGAAUUGACCGGNNGNGAGNGCGAGACGACGACGAGGAGAGG